AACUUGCCACCCAAGCUCCACUCGUCUCAGGAUAUUCCAGAUAUUUCCAAGGAAUUUAGCGAUAGUUGACUUUGUCUGUUAGCAUUCCCUUACAGCCAGUUGGUCUGUGGUUCAUGUUUCGUUAGCUUAGUAUGCUACUUGUGUGUUACCUGACUUGAAUGCCGUGAUUUGUGAAAACAUAUAUAAAGAUGUAGCGGCAAACAUACUGAAUUGGUUCUUUCUAUCAAAAGCGGUAGGGAAUGUCUACUCCCAGCAAGGGACAUGCACAGCCACCACCGCCGCCUGUAUCUAGUAUUUCAGAAGAGUCCGACCGAGAUGGGUAUGUAUCUUAGAGCUGCGUUUCUAAACCAGCCAUGCAGGACAUUGUAAGUUGUGACUGACUUAUUUAUCUUUUGAAUCAGGGACAAAGAAUUCGCUAUGCAAGGUGUUCAACCGUUGGGCAAAGAAACCGAAGCGGUUGGUGUGCUAGAAUCUAGUAUUGACAUGGAUGAUUGCUGGGAGGAUCCUAAUCAGAAAGGCUUGGAAG
ensembl:lncRNA